GACGAACGCUGGCGGCGUGCUUAACACAUGCAAGUCGAACGGAAAGGCCCUGCUUUUGUGGGGUGCUCGAGUGGCGAACGGGUGAGUAACACGUGAGUAACCUGCCCUUGACUUUGGGAUAACUUCAGGAAACUGGGGCUAAUACCGGAUAGGAGCUCCUGCUGCAUGGUGGGGGUUGGAAAGUUUCGGCGGUUGGGGAUGGACUCGCGGCUUAUCAGCUUGUUGGUGGGGUAGUGGCUUACCAAGGCUUUGACGGGUAGCCGGCCUGAGAGGGUGACCGGCCACAUUGGGACUGAGAUACGGCCCAGACUCCUACGGGAGGCAGCAGUGUGGAAUAUUGCACAAUGGGCGGAAGCCUGAUGCAGCAACGCCGCGUGCGGGAUGACGGCCUUCGGGUUGUAAACCGCUUUCUCCUGUGACGAAGCGUGAGUGACGGUAAUGGGUAAAGAAGCACCGGCUAACUCCGUG
rnacentral:rRNA from 1 species